UGGUGAUGAUGACACAGCUAAGGCUUGUUUCUCAACAUUCGCAGUAGCCGACUAAGAGCUUUCGCCCUGCUAGGCUUGAGAGCUAGUGCUGUUGUUGGUUCCUUCCUUGGAUGUCUGAGCCU